rnacentral:lncRNA from 1 species
CUUCAUCCCUUGUCUCCUCCCCUGGGAAUUCUCCUAGGUAUGGAGGGUUAGCUAGGUAGCAUAGUGGAGAAAGCAGCAGGUCUGGAGUUAGGAGAACAGGGUUUGUUGUGUAGUAAAAAUUAACUGACCCUCAUUCUGCUCCUUACCUAGGAUAGCAAAGUAUUCAUUAACAGAAUGUUCUGGACAAGAUCCUAGACAUUACGGGACUUCCACAAUGUCCCAGACAUGACCAGACCUUUGAAGUAGACCAAUAGUAUGUAACCACUUGUCUUUCAUGUCUCUACCUGUCUGCCUGUUAUGUUAAUUUGAUUAACUUGAUUAACUUUAUUAACCAAAUGCUCACAUGUAACUCAACUAUGAUCAUACCCUAUAUAAACACUGCUUAGACUCUGCUUCGGGGGAACUCACCUGACUGAGUUACCCCUAGCGCACUAGGAAUAAACUUCCCUUUGCCUGAUUUGCAUUGUCUUCAUGUGUUCCUUUGGGUGAUCAAUUCUCGGACCCUAACAUAUGGGGGCUCGUCCGGGAAUGAUACCCUGAGGACCUCCGGGACACGGGAAGUUCUCUCCCAACUUUCGUGGUGACUUUCCUGAGAGGAGCGAGAACGGGGAUGAUGGUCGACCCACCACAGACCCAACCCAUCUUGCUGUUGUUUUUCCUGCCACUCGUCCAGACUGGGACUUCCCCUCGGAGGAAGCUACUUUAACCGAGGAUGCCUGCAAACUGUCAACAGGAGCAAUUUCGAUUUUGAAAUUCUAGCAGCUUUUUGGAAGAAUUGGUUCAAAAAUGUCGGACUUGUCAGCUGACCCGUACUGCAAAGACUGAUAACCAUAUUGGCACCAGGCUUCAUGGUACUCGCCCUUGCGAAUACUGGGAGAUGGAUUUCACAGAGAUCAAGCCAGGAAAGUACGGAUACUGGGGGAAAAAAAGCUGCUGCUUUGAAGUUCAGCAAACCAGAUGGCAGAUAUUCUGAAAUAUUUUCCAGCCAACAAACCUUUAAGUGUACAAAGUUGGGACAGCUAGGUGAUUCAUUGGAUAGAGAGCCAGGCUUGGAGUUGGGAGGACCUGGGUUCAAAGCUGACCUCAGAUACAUCCUGGCUGUAUUACCUUGGGUAAGUCAAUUAACUCUAUUUUCCUAGGCUUUGCCCUUCUCUCCUAAAAUUGUUACUAAGAGAGAAAGUAAGAUUUUGAAAAAAAAAAAGUGUGCAAAGUUGCUUUUGCCUUAAAUCCAGACUGCAUUCCCAAUGCUACUAAUGACUUGCUUGACUUUCAGGAGCCUUGAGGACACUAGGCACUAAAUGACUACGCUCAAGCUAGGGAGAGAGAAAUAGGAUUCCAUUGUCUUUCACUUAUCAAGACCUACCUCUUCCAGUUAUUUUUAACAUUGCUACUGUUGUGAUGAUAGAAGCAGUAAAAUAUUUUUAAAAUAAUAUUUCAUUUUCUUCAAUUAAGUAUUUUUUCUUCUUCCUCAAAACCUGUCCUUUCUUCCUCCCAUCCUCCCUCUCUACUCACUGGGAAAAAAGAAAAACAAAACUUUGGCAGGACCAGUGAAAUAUAAGACAUCCUUUUUUAAAAAAUAAACGUUAAGCUUAUUUUUUAUAUGGUGCUGCA